GCUGGGUGUGGUGGUGCAUGCCUGUAAUCCCAGCUACUUGGGAGGCUGAGGCUGGAGAAUCCCUUGAGCCCAGGAGGCGGAGUUUGCAGUGAGCUGAGAUGGUGCCACUGCACUCCAGCCUGGGUGACAGAGCGAGACUCUGUCUCUA
ensembl:misc_RNA Metazoa_SRP Metazoan signal recognition particle RNA